rnacentral:rRNA from 1 species
UACGUAGGUCCCGAGCGUUGUCCGGAUUUAUUGGGCGUAAAGCGAGCGCAGGUGGUUUAAUAAGUCUGAUGUAAAAGGCGGUGGCUCAACCAUUGUGUGCAUUGGAAACUGUUAGACUUGAGUGCAGUAGAGGAGAGUGGAAUUCCAUGUGUAGCGGUGAAAUGCGUAGAUAUAUGGAGGAACACCGGUGGCGAAAGCGGCUCUCUGGACUGUCACUGACACUGAGGCUCGAAAGCGUGGGUAGCAAACAGG